rfam:Callithrix jacchus chromosome 8, whole genome shotgun sequence
UGGCCAAGGAUGAGAACUCUAAUCUGAUUUCAUAUGCUUCUGCUCUGAUGGAUUAAAGGAUUUACCUGAGGCCA